GAUGAAGAACGUAGCGAAAUGCGAUAAGUAAUGUGAAUUGCAGAAUUCAGUGAAUCAUCGAAUCUUUGAACGCACCUUGCGCCCUUUGGCCAUUCCGAAGGGCAUGCCUGUUUGAGUAUCAUGAACACCUCAACUCUUUAUGGUUUUCCAUGAUGAGCUUGGACUCUGGGGGUUUUGCUGGCUCACAGUCGGCUCCUCUAAAAUGAAUCAGCUUACCAGUGUUUGGUGGGUAUCAUGGGUGUGAUAACUAUCUACGCUUGUGGUUUUUCCACCAGGUAACCUUCAGCAGUGGAGGUUCGCUGGAGCUCAUAGAUGUCUCUCCUCAGUGAGGUCAGCCCUUUGAAUGUUUGAUCUCAAAUCAGGUAGGACUACCCGCUGAACUUAAGCAUAUCAAUAAGCGGAGGA
rnacentral:misc_RNA from 1 species